GCGGCUUCNGCUGUCACUUAUGGAUGGACCCNCGUCGCAUUAGCUAGUUGGUGAGGUAACGGCUCACCAAGGCAACGAUGCGUAGCCGACCUGAGAGGGUGAUCGGCCACACUGGGACUGAGACACGGCCCAGACUCCUACGGGAGGCAGCAGUAGGGAAUCUUCCGCAAUGGACGAAAGUCUGACGGAGCAACGCCGCGUGAGUGAUGAAGGCUUUCGGGUCGUAAAACUCUGUUGUUAGGGAAGAACAAGUGCUAGUUGAAUAAGCUGGCACCUUGACGGUACCUAACCAGAAAGCCACGGCUAACUACGUGCCAGCAGCCGCGGUAAUACGUAGGUGGCAAGCGUUAUCCGGAAUUAUUGGGCGUAAAGCGCGCGCAGGUGGUUUCUUAAGUCUGAUGUGAAAGCCCACGGCUCAACCGUGGAGGGUCAUUGGAAACUGGGAGACUUGAGUGCAGAAGAGGAAAGU
rnacentral:rRNA from 1 species